GAUGAACGCUGGCGGCGUGCCUAAUACAUGCAAGUCGAGCGAACAGACGAGGAGCUUGCUCCUCUGACGUUAGCGGCGGACGGGUGAGUAACACGUGGAUAACCUACCUAUAAGACUGGGAUAACUUCGGGAAACCGGAGCUAAUACCGGAUAAUAUAUUGAACCGCAUGGUUCAAUAGUGAAAGACGGUUUUGCUGUCACUUAUAGAUGGAUCCGCGCCGCAUUAGCUAGUUGGUAAGGUAACGGCUUACCAAGGCAACGAUGCGUAGCCGACCUGAGAGGUUGAUCGGCCACACUGGUACUGAGACACGGUCCAGACUCCUACGGGAGGCAGCAGUAGGGAAUCUUCCGCAAUGGGCGAAAGCCUGACGGAGCAACGCCGCGUGAGUGAUGAAGGUCUUCGGAUCGUAAAACUCUGUUAUUAGGGAAGAACAAAUGUGUAAGUAACUAUGCACGUCUUGACGGUACCUAAUCAGAAAGCCACGGCUAACUACGUG
rnacentral:rRNA from 1 species